AUGAUUGGACGGGGAGGCUUUGGCAAAGUUUACAAGGGAACACUAGGCGAUCAGGAAAUUGCUGUCAAACGGCUAAAUAAGGAUUCUCAACAAGGAACAAAUGAAUUCAGAAAUGAAGUAAUACUUAUUGCCAAACUUCAACAUAGAAAUUUGGUUCGACUUCUUGGAUGUUGUGACGAGGGAGAUGAAAAGUUGUUGAUUUAUGAGUAUUUGUCUAAUAGAAGCUUAGAUGCCACCCUUUUCGAUGAUUCAAGGAAAUUGUUGCUGGAUUGGGGAACACGUUUAAAUAUAAUCAAAGGUGUCGCCAGGGGGCUUCUUUAUCUCCACCAAGAUUCAAGGCCGACCAUAAUUCACAGAGAUCUCAAAGCCGGAAAUGUUUUGCUAGAUGCACAGAUGAAGCCCAAGAUGGCAGAUUUUGGUAUGGCGAGGAUCUUCGGUGAUAACCAGGAAAACGCAAACACCCAACAUGUCGUCGGAACAUAUGGCUACAUGGCUCCCGAGUACGCAAUGGAAGGCGUCAUCUCUACCAAGUCCGACAUCUAUAGUUUUGGCGUGUUGCUAUUGGAGAUUGUAACCGGAUGA
rnacentral:rRNA from 1 species